rnacentral:lncRNA from 1 species
AUGUGGAUCUUUGUGAAGACCCUCACAGGCCAGACCAUCACCCUUGAGGUCGAGCCCAGUGAUGCCACUGAGAAUGUCAAAGCCAAAAUUCAAGACAGGUAGGGCAUCUUACCUGACCAGCAGUGUCUGAUAUUUGAGGGCAAACAGCUGAAGGAUGGCCACACACUCUUAGACUACAACAUCCAGAAAGAGUCCACCCUGCGCCUGAUGCUGUGCCUGUGAGGUGGCAUUACGGAGCCUUCCCUCUGCCACCUUGCCCAGAAAUACAACUGCAAGAAGAUGAUGUGCCACAAGAGCUGUGCUCGCCUGCGCCCCCAUGCAGUCAACUGCUGCAAGAAGUGCGGCCACACCAACAACCUGCGUCCCAAAAAGAAGGUCGAAUAA